rnacentral:rRNA from 4 species
UCCGUAGGUGAACCUGCGGAAGGAUCAUUAUUGAAUG